UCACAAUGACUAAUAUCUGUUAACAACUCUCAAAGGUAUAAUGAACGGUGCUUACUCUUCACAGAGCUUUGAAAAAGAUUUUUAUUGCUGUUUAUUACCCUCCUCUGAUGCUGCUACAGCUUGCUGAACCAUUAUGCGCAGAUUUCACUCAACAAACAUUUGGCUCCAGCACGCACAGCUCAAGUUAGAUUGAGACUGAACCCAAAUUUGGAGGAUACUUGGAACUGCUGAAGUGAUAGUGCUCUGGGAAUAGCCUUUAAAAUUUUAUUUUCUUGUGGGUAAGAAGCUGUGGUUAUACAAUAAACGAUGUCUUAGAUACCAAGUAGCUGUAUAGAAGAGUCGUUAA